CGAGAUUCCCAAAGUAGCGGCGAGCGAAAUGGGAAGAGCCUGUACGUGAUAGUCGGACCGAUAACAGAAUCCUCUGGAAAUAGGAGCCAUAGUGGGUGAUAGCCCCGUAUGUGAAAUCGGACCGGUGGUACUAAGCGUACGACAAGUAGGGCGGGACACGUGACAUCCUGUCUGAAUAUGGGGGGACCAUCCUCCAAGGCUAAAUACUCGUAAUCGACCGAUAGUGAACCAGUACCGUGAGGGAAAGGCGAAAAG
rnacentral:rRNA from 1 species